rnacentral:rRNA from 1 species
GACGAACGCUGGCGGCGUGCUUAACACAUGCAAGUCGAACGGAAAGGCCCUGCUUGCAGGGUACUCGAGUGGCGAACGGGUGAGUAACACGUGGGUGAUCUGCCCUGCACUUCGGGAUAAGCCUUGGAAACUGGGUCUAAUACCGGAUAGGAGCCAUUUUUAGUGUGUUGGAUGGAAAGUUUUUUUCGGUGUAGGAUGAGCUCGCGGCCUAUCAGCUUUUUGGUGGGGUAAUGGCCUACCAAGGCGGCGACGGGUAGACGGACUGAGAGGGUGGACGGCCACAAUGGGGCUGAGAUACGGCCCAGACGCCUACGGGAGGCAGCAGUGGGGAAUAUUGCACAAUGGGCGCAAGGCUGAUGCAGCGACGCCGCGUGGGGGAUGACGGCCUUCGGGUUGUAAACUCCUUUCGCUAGGGACGAAGCUUUUUGUGACGGUACCUAGAUAAGAAGCACCGGCUAACUACGUG